GACGAACGCUGGCGGCGUGCUUAACACAUGCAAGUCGAACGGAAAGGCCCUGCUUUUGUGGGGUGCUCGAGUGGCGAACGGGUGAGUAACACGUGAGUAACCUGCCCUUGACUUUGGGAUAACUUCAGGAAACUGGGGCUAAUACCGGAUAGGAGCUCCUGCUGCAUGGUGGGGGUUGGAAAGUUUCGGCGGUUGGGGAUGGACUCGCGGCUUAUCAGCUUGUUGGUGGGGUAGUGGCUUACCAAGGCUUUGACGGGUAGCCGGCCUGAGAGGGUGACCGGCCACAUUGGGACUGGGAUACGGCCCAGACUCCUACGGGGGGCAGCAGUGGGGAAUAUUGCACAAUGGGCGGAAGCCUGAUGCAGCAACGCCGCGUGCGGGAUGACGGCCUUCGGGUGGUAAACCGCUUUCGCCUGUGACGAAGCGUGAGUGACGGUAAUGGGUAAAGAAGCACCGGCUAACUACGU
rnacentral:rRNA from 1 species